rnacentral:lncRNA from 1 species
CGCCCGCCCGGCCGCCGUCCCCGCCCGUCGCUGGCUCCGCGGCCGCCGGCUCCCACCAAGCGGAGGGCGGAGGGGAGGGGCAGGCGGCGCCCAGAAGGGAGGCGCGGGCCGCAGGCCAAGCCGACCGGGCUCUGCCUCCCUCGGAUUCUCUGAAAUCUGACCCUGCCCAGGGGCACUGUGACAAGAAGAGGGGAAGAAGCCACCUUACUCCGGAGCAGGCACCCGUCCCGCCCAAGCCCCACCCGGGGCACAGGGCACGGUUCUCCGGCGGAGCGCGACUCGUCCCUGUGCCCUUGGGCUUCUCGUGUCACACACCCCCUUGGCCCUGUCCAACAGCUGCCGCUGCACAAACUUCCUUCUGCAGGUGCCUUGACCCCCGGAUAUGUGAGGAAAAGUGGGAAACGGAAGCCCUGGGAGCCAGACUCCAGUAGGCCUGGGAACAUCCUGGAGCCAGGAGAAACCUGAUUAGGCUGACACCCAUGACUGCCCGGGUUCUGGCUCCGAGAGCGUGAACAUCUUAGGACACGCUGUGUGAGGAUAAGUCCCCACCCCCUUGUUGCUGAGAUUUUUGCCAGCACUUCCACAGGUUUUCUGUCAGUGGCCUGGAGAGGCUCACAGCGAGCCCUGUAGGCUCCACAGAAAGAAACUUCCCAUCCAGGGACGGUGCUGCUGGGGAGAUGGACAAAUGAGUCUGAGACAGGUGUCCAGACAUUAACUGUAGGUAAAGCCCUGAGGGAGGAGUUCAAAGGGAGCUUGAGAAACAAAGAAGACCUCCAGUGAAGAGAGGGGAAUUAGUGCCUUAUAUGUUAAAAGCGAAGCAAACACAGGGGUUGGAAAUCAGAAGAGAGCGCUAAAAUGGAAGUUUCCCUUUAUUGCUUUACUGGGAAUUUUCCUUUCUCAUGAGAAGUCUCUGAAAAGGAAACCUCCUAAGCUGGGAAUCAGUCCAGGAGGCUCCCAUGAGGCCCCGAGACUUCUCUGGACUUCUGAGAUGAAAGCAUAAUUUGUUCCCUUCCUGUGCAUUGGGCUUAGGGUUGCCACCUACCUCUUUUUGUCAAAGACAAAUAGGCAAGAAAAUCAACAACUUGACAUCGGUCAUUAACCUGUCGUGGGCUUCUGGGUUCUUGCAAGUGUUACUGAAUAGAUAUGAGUGAGCCAGGAUAGUUAACCAAGGUUCUGACUUGUUUUUGGAAGGCUUUCACUAGCUCUGACUGCUUGAGUACUGAAUAAAAAUCACACGCGCGCGCA